GACGAACGCUGGCGGCGUGCUUAACACAUGCAAGUCGAACGGAAAGGCCCUGCUCUUGUGGGGUGCUCGAGUGGCGCACGGGUGAGUAACACGUGAGUAACCUGCCCUUGACUUUGGGAUAACUUCAGGAAACUGGGCCUAAUACCGGAUAGGCGCUCCUGCUGCAUGGUGGGGGCUGGAAGGUUUCGGCGGUUGGGGAUGGACUCGCGGCUUAUCAGCUUGUUGGUGGGGUAGUGGCUUACCAAGGCUCUGACGGGUAGCCGGCCUGAGAGGGUGACCGGCCACAUUGGGACUGAGAUACGGCCCAGACUCCUACGGGAGGCAGCAGUGGGGAAUAUUGCACAAUGGGCGGAAGCCUGAUGCAGCAACGCCGCGUGCGGGAUGACGGCCUUCGGGUUGUAAACCGCUUUCGCCUGGGACGAAGCGUGAGUGACGGUAAUGGGUAAAGAAGCACCGGCUAACUACGUG
rnacentral:rRNA from 1 species